ACAGCAUUAGAUCCCACAAGGCUGCCCCCAUUUCAGGUACCAAUCAUAAAUCUGAGCUUCACAUGCUGCUAACUUGGUAUAAACUAGGAGUUCCCAUGACCUCCUCCUCCUCUGGGGGAUAUUUUGAUAGAAUGAUCCUGGAACUCAGAGAAACAAUGUUCACCAGUUUAUAAAGAACAGAGAUGAGCAGACAAAGAGUUCUAUAGGGUAAGGGAUGAAGGAGGGCAAGAGAUGGCACACUCCCUCUAGGUGCAACGCCCUUCCAGCAGUUCAUUGUGUACAGCAAUCUGAAAGCUCAUCAAACCUUGUGACUCAACAGUUUCUACAGAGUUUACUCUCCAGCACGGCCUACCCCAUGCCCUUUCCUGGAUGUUGUUUUCAGGGCAAUGGGUGCACAACCCUGACCUGUGCUGACCUGUUUCUGGGUUUGUUUCCAAAUGCAAAGCCUCUGGGAAAAGACAGCCUGUGUUCCUGCUGAAAACAAUUUUCUCAAAGGCACUGUUAAGCCUCUGGGGAACUCCUCCUGCAAAAAUCUACCCUCUACUUUUCCAGAGAGACUGAAGCACCUCCUCUUCCAUGUUCCA